rnacentral:rRNA from 1 species
UACGUAGGAUGCGAGCGUUAUCCGGAUUUAUUGGGUUUAAAGGGUGCGUAGGCGGGAUGCCAAGUCAGCGGUAAAAAUGCGGUGCUCAACGCCGUCGAGCCGUUGAAACUGGCGUUCUUGAGUGGGCGAGAAGUAUGCGGAAUGCGUGGUGUAGCGGUGAAAUGCAUAGAUAUCACGCAGAACUCCGAUUGCGAAGGCAGCAUACCGGCGCCCUACUGACGCUGAGGCACGAAAGCGUGGGUAUCGAACAGG